rnacentral:rRNA from 1 species
UUGGAAGUAAAAAGUCGUAACAAGGUUUCCGUAGGUUAAGUUCAGCCUGCCAAAGCAGCCUGUAAAUGCUAGUCUAGCCCCCUAGGCGACACGCUCAAUGUGCGGAAAAGCCCCCUCUGGGGGAGACCCGCAGCCCAUCGCCCUUACCCGGCGAUCGGUUCAGAGACUCAAUAAGCGUGGGUCUGGCCUCCAAGGCCAGGCUUGAGAUAGAGCCCGUCCCAGCUGGCAACCGCUGGGAGGAAACGGAACCUGCGGAAGGAUCAUUA